rnacentral:rRNA from 1 species
AUGUGAUCGUCUCUCGCAUAUCAAUAAGCGGAGGAAAAGAAACUAACAAGGAUUCCCCUAGUAACGGCGAGUGAAGCGGGAAGAGCUCAAAUUUGAAAUCUUAAAGGGUUUCCCUUUACGAAUUGUAGUUUAAAGAAGUGUUUUCAGUUGAGGUUUUGGUAAAAGUUCUUUGGAAUAGGACAUCAUAGAGGGUGAGAAUCCCGUAUUUGACCUUUACUUUCAACUUUGUGAUACACUUUCGAAGAGUCGGAUUGUUUGGGAAUGCAGUCCAAAAUGGGUGGUAAAUUUCAUCUAAAGCUAAAUAUUGGCGAGAGACCGAUAGCGAACAAGUACCGUGAGGGAAAGAUGAAAAGAACUUUGAAAAGAGAGUUAAACAGUACGUGAAAUUGUCAAAAGGGAAGCGUUUGACACCAGUGUUGUUUUUCUGAAAAUCAAUUAAAGAACUGUUUAUGCUAAGUUGUUUAGACUUUAUCAGCUAUCUGCUUAGUUUUGAGCUUUUCUUUAAUGCACUUUUCAGUUAACAAGUCAACAUCAAUUUCUUUUGCUGUAAAAAAGCUUGAGGAAGGUGGCUUGAGAUUCGUCUUAAGUGUUUAUAGCCUCUUGCCUAUGCAGUCGGAGAGAUUGAGGUCUGCAGCGUAGAUCCUUCGGGGCUAAAUGCAUUUGUGCUAAGUUAUAGCAUUUUAUAGACAACUUGUUGACUAUGAUUUGUCUUGUAGCUUACUCGCUUAUGUUAUUUUACCUACGCUUAGGAUGUUGACGAGACUGUCGAUCUC